rnacentral:rRNA from 1 species
CUGAACCAGCCAAGUAGCGUGAAGGAUGAAGGUUCUAUGGAUUGUAAACUUCUUUUAUACGGGAAUAAACGAAUCCACGUGUGGAUUUUUGCAUGUACCGUAUGAAUAAGGAUCGGCUAACUCCGUGCCAGCAGCCGCGGUAAUACGGAGGAUCCGAGCGUUAUCCGGAUUUAUUGGGUUUAAAGGGAGCGUAGAUGGGUUGUUAAGUCAGUUGUGAAAGUUUGCGG